ensembl:lncRNA
AGCCCUCAUGCAACAACGAAGACCCACCACAGCCAAAAACUAAAAUAAAUAUAUCUUAAAAAAAAAAAAAAGAUGCACUGUCCUAGAGUAAAAUUUGAUUGGCCAGCUUCAGUCACUAACUACUCUUGGCAAGGAGAAGCCAAGGGUUCCUUAACAGGCUCACUGGGACUCACAGUAAGGAGCCAGGAAUCCCCAAAAAGGGAUUCAUAAAUAAGAACAGGACGGUGAAUGGAUGCUGGGAAGCCAAGGAGCAGCAAAUGUCCACUCCAGCCUGGGACGUGACUUUGCUCCAGGGUCCCUCCUCAUUUGGCAGCCAUUUUCACGUUGUCCUGAGUGCUCCCCCUGGAGAGAAGCUUGGCCUGCAAAAUGCAGAUCUGAGGAACUGAAGAAAAACGAGAGGCGCGGGGAGAAAGACCCUCUGCACAAGUUGAAGAGGGGCCUGUCCUGGCCACAAGAUGGACAGGAGGAUCAAGGAAGACGAUGUGCUCCCCAGAGCUCAGCUGACUGAGAAACGGGCGUGGAGAGGGUCCACGAGGACAGCGGCACGAUCUUCCUAUAUUUCUGCCAGAGGAAAAUGGUCUCUUGCACCACGGGACUUAUAAAAUCCGGGUGAGCGCCCCCAGCGCAGAAAAGAUCUGCUGGGAACUCCCUUUCUAGGCGCAGGACCCCCCAGGUUUCCAGGAGCCCAGGUAAAUCCACUCAGUCAUCUCCUCUCUAUCUGGAACCAGAUCACUGAUUGCAAAGAGGAUUUGUAGAAACCAUCCAGAGUCAGAUUUGUGACCCUCUCCUGUGACGCUGCCCUGUGAUGACAAGAGUAAAUAGCCAACACACACACAACAGUGCUACCCAGACGCCCAUUCUGGUUUUCUUUUUUUCUCCCUUCUGCACCCAUUCUGUUUUUUACUUUCAGGACAAUAUUCAAUAAAUUAUAUGCUAUAUUCUAUGUUUUAUUAUUAAAUCAGCUUUGUAUUAGGUGAUUUCGCC